rnacentral:miRNA from 1 species
GACGUCGAUAUUCGACAUCAUAAACACGAUCAAAUUAGCUGUUUAUCACGUCGAUAUUCGACGUCAUAAACACUAUUAACUUUGGUGUUUAUGAUGUCGAUAAUGGACGUCAUAAGCACUAUUAACUUUGGUGUUUAUGAUGUCGAUAAUGGACGUCAUAAGCACAAUCAACUUAGGUGUUUAUGACGUCGAUAUUCGACGUCAUAAACACGAUCAACUUUGGUGUUUAUGACGUCGAUAUUCGACGUC